UAAAGGCAGUGCAAAACAUAUCAACAACAACACUAGCAAUUGGUGCAGGGUUGGGGGCGCCAUGACUAGGUUAACAAUAGUAUCUUUCACAAGGGUUUUGUGAUCAUUGAUGUAAGAAGUAAAAGCACUUGCAGGGCUUACAGCUAAAGCUUCUGGAGGAGGUGCAGGUAUGGUCUCAGGAAUUUCGAUGAACCUGAUUUCUGUAUAAAUUGAAGCAAGCGAUUUGAUUUUCUUGCUUAUGCCACCGUCAAAUGGAUUGUUGAUGGCAAGCAUGGUUAUCAAGAAACUGUCGUUCCUCUCAAGAACCGUCUUUGCUAACUGAACAGCUGGUACAAGGUGGCCAAAUCCAGGUGCAGGGACAAAGACUAGCUGUGUUUUCUUCAUUUUGGAGGUUUUGAAUGUUCAAUAUGGUGAUCCUUGUUUGCCUUAUAAUGGGCUCAAGGUCAACGCCACAAUGCCAGCUGUUAUGAUUAUUUUUUUUCUAAAUUAAUCAUCAAAUUGGAUGACAAUUAUUACAAA